rnacentral:tRNA from 1 species
GCGGGUGUAGUUCAAUGGUAGAACACCUGCCUUCCAAGCUGGAUACGUGGGUUCGAUUCCCAUCACCCGCU